rnacentral:rRNA from 1 species
CUCAGGACGAACGCUGGCGGCGUGCUUAACACAUGCAAGUCGAGCGGAAAGGCCCUUCGGGGUACUCGAGCGGCGAACGGGUGAGUAACACGUGAGCAACCUGCCCCAAGCUUUGGGAUAACCCUCGGAAACGGGGGCUAAUACCGAAUAGGACUUCUGGCCGCAUGGCUGGUGGUGGAAAGUUUUUCGGCUUGGGAUGGGCUCGCGGCCUAUCAGCUUGUUGGUGGGGUGAUGGCCUACCAAGGCGACGACGGGUAGCCGGCCUGAGAGGGCGACCGGCCACACUGGGACUGAGACACGGCCCAGACUCCUACGGGAGGCAGCAGUGGGGAAUAUUGCACAAUGGGCGGAAGCCUGAUGCAGCGACGCCGCGUGAGGGAUGACGGCCUUCGGGUUGUAAACCUCUUUCAGCAGGGA